ensembl:lncRNA
CUUACUCCCUUUGGGCACCGAGGGCAGGCUGGCCUUUGAGCUCCAUGAAGACCACGGGGCGGGUUUCGCUGCCUUGACUCGGCCCAGGGCUGGUGCUUGGCCUUGGAUUCCAAGCAUAGCCCUGAGUUUGGCCAGAUGCUUUUCAGGCAGAAGACACCCCUGGAACACCCAUGCCCUCUUAGAGAUGGUCAGCUGAACGCCUCAAGAGGGUGGGAGAGAGAAGCAACAUUUCCAGGGAGCUCGGCAGCAGACGUCUAUUCUCUGCUUUCCUUCUGAAGGGAGCUUCUACUUUUUCUAAGAGCAGGAGAUGUUUCAAAGGAAGCGUGAUACCCUGAAGAGCAGCUUGGCCAUGGGACUCAAUUUGACUCACAAUACAGUUUGGAAGAGAAAAACGCACACCCACCUAUGAAAUGCUCAAUUGCAGUUAUUUUACAUGGAGCCUGCGUUUCAGGGAGGCUGAACCUUCCCACCAAUGCUCCGUUCCGUGUUGUUGCCAUGCAGUGAUGGCAUUCCAUGAUGGCAGCAGAGGGGCACUCUGACCAACUGCCGUCUGACACGGAAGUGCGGAUGAAGCAAAGGAGUGGAACUGAACUCCUUUGUGCAGAAAAAGUGGCACCCACUGACAUUCAGGGCUCUAGGCCCCGGGGCCAGUGCCGGCCUCACUGGAUGUGGCUGUGGCUUUAUGUCCUGGGGCUGGUGCCGGUCUUUCUUGCUGUGGAUGUGGCUUUAGGUGCAGGGCGGCUGUUGGCCUUUCUGGCUGUUGCUGGGGCUUUAGGCCCCGGGGACACUGCAGGCCUCUUGGGCUGGGGCUGUGGCUUCAGGCCACGUGGCCAGUGCUGGCCUCUGGAGUUCUGGCUGUGCCUUGAAGCCCCUGGACUGGUUCCAGCCUUUCAAGCUGUGGCUUUAGUCCCCACAGCUGGUGCCAGCCUGUCUAGCUGUGGAUGUGGCUUCAGGCCCUUGGGCUGGUGCUGGCCUCUCGGGCUGUGGCUGAGGCUUUAAGGCCCAGGGCCACAGCCAGCCACUCGGGUUGUGGCUUUAUGCCCUAGGGCUGGUGCCAGUCUGUCUGGCUGUGUUUUUAUGCCCCAGGGCUGGUGCUGGCCUCUCUGGCUGUGGCUUUAGGCCUUGCUGCUGGUGCCAGCCUCUCUGCCUGUCGCUGUGGCUUUAAGCCUCAGGGCAGAUGCCAGCUUCCCUGCCUGUGGUUGUGGCUUUCAGCCUAGGACUGGUGCAGGCCUCUCGUGCUGGUGCUGCGGCUUUAGGCCUCCGGGCCAAUGCUAGCCUGUCUGCCUAUGGCCUUAGGCCCUGGGCCGGUGUAGGCCUCUCAGGAUGUGGCUUUUGGCCCAAAGACUGCUCGUGGCCUCUGUGGCUGUGGCUUUAGGCCUUGGUGCUGGUGCCAGCCUCUCUGCCUGUGGCUUUGGCUUUAGGCCUUGGGCUGGUGCUGGCCUCUCGGGCUCAGGCUGGGGUUUUAGGCUCCUGGGUCAGUGCUGGCCUGCCUGCCUAUGGCUUCAGGCCCUGGGCUGGUAUAGGACUGUCGGCCUGUGUCUUUUGGCUUCAGGGCCACUGCAGGCCUCUCUGGCUGUGGCUUUAAGCCCCAUGGCCAGUGGAAGCCUCCGUGGCUGAGGCUUUAGGCCCCGGGGCGGGUGCCAGCCUCUCCUCUUGUGGCUUUAGGCCCUGGGCCUGUGCUGGCCACUCAGGCGGUGCCUUUAGGCCCUAGAGCUUGUGCUGGCCUAGAACAACGUGCAUUUUAAAAUUGGUCAUGGAAGGAAAUGAAAGCAAGAGAGCACUGAGCUCUUCUGUGUGUUUCUUGGAUUGGGAUAGAGACAGGAGAGUGUGCUCAGCCUCCCUCGUGUGGUUGCCUGUAUCCAGCAACAGCAGCCGCAGCAGAGAACAUCGUCACAUCUUUAUUAGGCGCUCCUCCGACUGUCUCUUUUUGUCUCUGUUUUCUGGAAUGCAGGCAUUUCUCUUUGUGGCCCACAAACACUUUGUGCCAGGAUAACCAAGUAUGAAUUCUCACUGCUCUUUACCCUGCUCAAGAGAAGGUGGCUGUACUGUGAGGGCAGGUGGGGGCAGGGACGAGGGUCAGGAGCAAGGGCAGAGUGCUUUCUUUGUUACUCAAUGGAAGGGGUGUGUUUUUCAGGUGGAUAUGUCGUGGUGCUUCUUACAAGGACUGACUAACGGUGGGAUGAGAUGUGCCCUGAAGGGGGUGUGCUUGCCACCUUGGAAAUAGGCAAAUACAAAUAAUUUAUCAGGACAGUAUCUCUGAUAAAGCAGAAUCUCUGCACAACUGCAAUGGCAGGCCUCCUGCAAGCAGGAGAGCACACAGAAAACAGCCUUCCAUUUUUACUCCCUGUUAUCGACGCUUACCUCUUUC